GACGAACGCUGGCGGCGUGCUUAACACAUGCAAGUCGAACGGUAAGGCCCUUCGGGGUACACGAGUGGCGAACGGGUGAGUAACACGUGGGUGAUCUGCCCUGCACUUCGGGAUAAGCCUGGGAAACUGGGUCUAAUACCGGAUAGGACCACUGCCUGCAUGGGUGGUGGUGGAAAGCUUUUGCGGUGUGGGAUGGGCCCGCGGCCUAUGAGCUUGUUGGUGGGGUGAUGGCCGACCAAGGCGACGACGGGUAGCCGGCCUGAGAGGGUGACCGGCCACACUGGGACUGAGAUACGGCCCAGACUCCUACGGGAGGCAGCAGUGGGGAAUAUUGCACAAUGGGCGCAAGCCUGAUGCAGCGACGCCGCGUGAGGGAUGACGGCCUUCGGGUUGUAAACCUCUUUCAGCACCGACGAAGCGCAAGUGACGGUAGGCGCAGAAGAAGGACCGGCCAACUACGUGCCAGCCGCCGCCGUAA
rnacentral:rRNA from 1 species